AACCUGCGGAAGGAUCAUUAAUGAUUACGAACGGUUGCCUUCAGUGCUGGCCAGAACUGGUAAGUGCACGUUGGUGACUUUCAUCCAAUCUCCUGUGCACCUUUGGCCUCUUGCUAGCUUCGGCCGGCAGAGGAAUUUACACACACUCGAAUGUAAUGAAAUAUAUUGUCGUGCGCAAGCACUAAUGUACAACUUUCAACAACGGAUCUCUUGGCUCUCGCAUCGAUGAAGAACGCAGCGAAAUGCGAUAAGUAAUGUGAAUUGCAGAAUUCAGUGAAUCAUCGAAUCUUUGAACGCACCUUGCACCCUUUGGCAUUCCGAAGGGUAUGCUCGUUUGAGUGUCAUUGUACUCUCACACUCCCGAUCUUUGGGUCGGGAGCGGUGGACUUGGGUGUUGCUGCUUACCGUGGCUCACCUCAAAUGGAUUAGUGCACCUCUUGGUUGGACAUAGUACGGCGUGAUAAGUGUCUUCGCCGGCACCUCACUAGAGGGUGGCCGAUCGGGAGCUCUGUGCUUCAAACCGUCCUCGGACAACAACUGACAACUUGACCUCAAAUCGAGUAGGACUACCCGCUGAACUUAAGCAUAUCAAUAAGCGGAGGAAAAGAAACUAACAAGGAUUCCCCUAGUAACGGCGAGUGAAGAGGGAAGAGCUCAAAUUUUGAAUCUGGCGUCUUUGGCGUCCGA
rnacentral:rRNA from 1 species